UUUCCUUUUGCGUUUUGUGACUUCACUGCGAGUGUGGCAGGCAUGUUCCCUGAUUCUGCCACCGCCAGGAACCACUCACCUCAUCAAGGCACCAACCCGCCAAAGCACUGAAUCUACAAGACCACUCCAGUUGGGCCUCCCGAGUGGUGCAGUGGUCUAUGCACUUGCCUGGAACGUCUUAUUGCGUUGCUAUUGCAAGCGUUGCUGAAAGAACCAUGAAGGGGUGCACCUGGUCUGCAACAUUGUUUAGAGUCAAAAUACUGAAUCUACAAGACCACUCCAGUUGGGCCUCCCGAGUGGUGCAGUGGUCUAUGCACUUGCCUGGAACGUCUUAUUGCGUUGCUAUUGCAAGCGUUGCUGAAAGAACCAUGAAGGGGUGCACCUGGUCUGCAACAUUGUUUAGGUACUUGUCGGUCAUCAGAUUUGUCAUCAAUAUCGACACGUUGAUGCUGAUGAUUCCUGAACUGCUCAAAGUUCAGCGGUAUGUGCUCACCUACAGGUUCAGCCAAGAUCACUUGGAGCUCCUAUUUAAUUAAAUCAGAGCGUCAGGCGGCUGGAAUAACAAUCCAUCGGCACGCCAGUUCCAGGCCAUCUUCCGCCGCCUGAUGGUUCGGUGUGGUGUCGCACCUGGUGAGACAGGCAAUGUGGCGGCCCAGGAUAACACUGUGUCCCUGUCUGCUGUGGAGAUGUCCUCUCCUGAAACUGCUGAAGAGCACCCAUCUCCAUUCGCCAACAUUUCGGCCCUUGUGUGUGACCACAGUUAUCUCCCCACUCGGUUUGGUGGUCUGGUGGAAAAUGCUCUGGUCUACAUAGCAGGGUUUGUAGUCCGGCAGAUUCUACGAAAACUGUCCUGUGAUGUGUGCUGUGCGAGCUUGGUCAGAGAUGCUGUACCAUCUACGUUUGACAAGAGCUACCACCUUCUAACCCUAAAUAACAACGGCGGCCUAGUGAUUCCAUCACAAGUCACAGUGAAGGUGCUGAGUGCUGCAGAGAGGGUGAUCCGCCAAGCUUCACCAAGCUCCUGAGGUGUUGAGAGUCACACACAUUGUCGGGUAGGAGAUUGGAGAGGAGGAUGUUUUUCUGCUUGGGGAACACAUUGAGGAGACAGUUUGGCAGCGACAACCAUCAUUCAACAACCAUCAUUCUGACUUCUUGUCAUUGGAUUACACUGAGUGGAGCGGCUGACCGGUCCCAGAUGGCGGUCCCAGAUGGCGGUCCCAGAUGGCGGUCCAAGAUGGCGGUCCCAGAUGGAGGUCCCACGGCUCGUCAGCGCCAGUAGGCGGUAGCGGUCGAUGGGGCGUCUACUCUUUAUUAUGUCUUUGGUUUCAAACUCCUAUCAUCACUUCAUCUUCCACCCUCGUGUGGGAAACAACUUGAGGUGCCUUUCUCAGAAAGAGGUUACACUGAUCAUUAAAGGAUAAGACACAUAUAUCAUGUUUAUGAAUUUGUGCUUUGUAGCAAUUGUAU
ensembl:lncRNA